CAUUAGCUAGUUGGUAGGGGUAACGGCUUACCAAGGCAAUGAUGCAUAGCCGAGUUGAGAGACUGAUCGGCCACAAUGGAACUGAGACACGGUCCAUACUCCUACGGGAGGCAGCAGUAGGGAAUCUUCCACAAUGGGCGCAAGCCUGAUGGAGCAACACCGCGUGAGUGAAGAAGGGUUUCGGCUCGUAAAGCUCUGUUGUUGGAGAAGAACGUGCGUGAGAGUAACUGUUCACGCAGUGACGGUAUCCAACCAGAAAGUCACGGCUAACUACGUGCCAGCAGCCGCGGUAAUACGUAGGUGGCAAGCGUUAUCCGGAUUUAUUGGGCGUAAAGCGAGCGCAGGCGGUUGCUUAGGUCUGAUGUGAAAGCCUUCGGCUUAACCGAAGAAGGGCAUCGGAAACCGGGCGACUUGAGUGCAGAAGAGGACAGUGGAACUCCAUGUGUAGCGGUGGAAUGCGUAGAUAUAUGGAAGAACACCAGUGGCGAAGGCGGCUGUCUGGUCUGCAACUGACGCUGAGGCUCGAAAGCAUGGGUAGCGAACAGG
rnacentral:rRNA from 1 species